rnacentral:rRNA from 1 species
UACGAAGGGGGCUAGCGUUGCUCGGAAUUACUGGGCGUAAAGCGCACGUAGGCGGGUUCUUAAGUCUGUGGUGAAAUCCUGGAGCUCAACUCCAGAACUGCCUUCGAAACUGGGAAUCUUGAGUCCGGGAGAGGUGAGUGGAACUGCGAGUGUAGAGGUGAAAUUCGUAGAUAUUCGCAAGAACACCAGUGGCGAAGGCGGCUCACUGGCCCGGUACUGACGCUGAGGUGCGAAAGCGUGGGGAGCAAACAGG